GAUGAAGAACGUAGCGAAAUGCGAUAAGUAGUGUGAAUUGCAGAAUUCAGUGAAUCAUCGAAUCUUUGAACGCACAUUGCGCCCCUUGGUAUCCCGAGGGGCAUGCCUGUUCGAGCGUCAUUUCACCACUCAAGCCUGGCUUGGUGUUGGGCGACGUCCCCUUUGGGGACGCGCCUCGAAACGCUCGGCGGCGUGGCACCGGCUUUAAGCGUAGCAGAAUCUUUCGCUUUGGAAGUCGGGGCCCCGUCUGCCGGAAGAGCUACUCGCAAGGUUGACCUCGGAUCAGGCAGGGAUACCCGCUGAACUUAAGCAUAUCAAUAAGCGGAGGA
rnacentral:misc_RNA from 1 species